CACGUAGGGACCAAGCGUUGUCCGGAUUCAUUGGGCGUAAAGGGCUCGUAGGCGGUUUGUCGCGUCGGGAGUGAAAACACCGGGCUUAACUCGGUGCUUGCUUUCGAUACGGGCAGACUAGAGGUAUGCAGGGGAGAACGGAAUUCCUGGUGUAGCGGUGAAAUGCGCAGAUAUCAGGAGGAACACCGGUGGCGAAGGCGGUUCUCUGGGCAUUACCUGACGCUGAGGAGCGAAAGUGUGGGGAGCGAACAGG
rnacentral:rRNA from 1 species